AUUGAACGCUGGCGGAAUGCUUUACACAUGCAAGUCGAGCGGCAGCGCGGGGCGAACCCUGGCGGCGAGCGGCGAACGGUGAGUAACAUAUCGGAACGUACCCAGUCGUGGGGGAUAACUAUCCGAAAGGAUAGCUAAUACCGCAUACGUCCUGAGGGAGAAAGCGGGGGAGUCGCAAGACCUCGCGCGAUUGGAGCGGCCGAUAUCGGAUUAGCUAGUUGGUGGGGUAAAGGCUCACCAAGGCGACGAUCCGUAGCGGGUCUGAGAGGACGACCCGCCACACUGGAACUGAGACACGGUCCAGACUCCUACGGGAGGCAGCAGUGGGGAAUUUUGGACAAUGGGGGCGAACCCUGAUCCAGCCAUUCCGCGUGAGUGAAGAAGGCCUCGGUUGUAAG
rnacentral:rRNA from 1 species